UCUUCGUCUUUCUUUCUAUCGUCACCUCUCUUCAGGGUAAGUUCUCUCUUCUAUUUCUUCAACGUGUUUGGUCAUUUUAGGGAAAUGUUAAAUCCGUUUGUGAGGUCAGGACGAUUCAUCGCCAGCUUGGUAACUAAACCCGUUCGAUUUGAAACCGUUAAAACUACUUACACUAUUGCAGAAAUGAAAUUUAACGGUUCGUCAUCAGGCGGAUUCACAUCCAACAACAGCAAAUUCCGUCGUCCAGGAGGAAGCGGCGGAAGCUUUCGUGUUAACAACAACGGCGGUGGAAUGAGAAGGAGUAUCCAUAUGAAGGCCAAUAUCAAAAGGGACAACAACAGCUUGGGCAAGACGCUUAAGGCUGUUUCCUGGGAUGCCGAGGAUCUGUCUGACUUUAGGAAGGACUUCUAUUGUCCCCAUCCCAACGUCAUAAACAGGCCCUAUAUGGAAGUUGAGAAAUACAGAAAGAGCAAGGAGAUCACUGUGAGGGGUGACGCUGGCAAUCCGAUACAGUUUUUUGAGGAAGCCAACUUUCCCAAUUAUGUAAUGGGAACAAUCAAACAUCAAGGUUUUGACUUCCCGACCGCCAUUCAAGCCCAAGGAUGGCCAAUUGCACUCAGCGGGAAGAACAUGGUCGGCAUUGCCCAAACCGGUUCUGGCAAGACACUUGCAUACAUGCUGCCAGCAGUAGUACACAUCAAGCACCAACCAAAAAUUAAAAGAGGAGAUGGACCUAUAGCCCUCGUUCUUGCGCCUACUAGAGAAUUGGCUCAACAGAUUCAACAGGUUGCAAGUGAGUUUGGCAUACCGUGCGGACAGAGGUCAACUUGUAUAUUUGGAGGUGCUCCAAAGGGACCACAGGCGAGGGAUCUCGAGAGGGGUGUUGAAAUUGUUAUUGCAACGCCUGGCCGACUUAUAGAUUUUCUUGAGAGGGGCACAACAAAUUUACGGAGGUGCACAUACCUCGUAUUAGAUGAGGCAGACCGCAUGUUAGAUAUGGGGUUCGAGCCUCAAAUAAGAAAGAUAAUCGAACAAAUCAGGCCCGACAGACAAGUUCUUAUGUGGUCUGCCACUUGGCCAAAGGAGGUGAAAUCUCUCGCAGAGGACUUUCUCCAAGACUACAUACAAGUCAACAUUGGAUCUCUCGAGCUGUCCGCUAAUCAUAACAUCCAGCAGAUUGUCGAGGUCUGCGAAGAGAAUGAAAAACAGACCAAACUUCAGACCCUUCUUGAAGAAAUCAAUAAUUCCAAGUUAGAAAGGACUAUUAUUUUUGUGGAGACAAAAAAGAAAGUUGAGGCCAUCGCAAACGCCCUGAAAAGACUAGGGUGGCCAGCUGUUUGCAUUCAUGGUGAUAAAUCACAAAAUGAAAGAGAUUAUGUCCUAAGAGAUUUUCGAAGAGGCAAGUCACUCAUCUUAGUCGCCACUGAUGUCGCUGCUCGUGGACUUGAGGCACCUUAUUGGAUAUAAGAAAUAUCCAGGAUUUAUAAAAAAAAUAUAUAAAUCAAAUAGAAACAAGCGUUUUUAUGAAAAUCAGCUUUUCAUAGAACACUUUUGGGGUGCCUCUGCAAGUUUCACCUCCAGCCAUAUCUGAAAGGUUGCAAUUUUUUUACGAAAAAAAACCAAAUUUGUUUUUCUUCAAAAAAUAAAUUUAAAAGAACCAAGUUGGAGGGAAACAACAGAAAAACAGCACUGCGCCCGGUCUGCUCAAAAAAUGAUUGUGAAGGGGACAUUCUCAAGCAUCCAGAUGUUGAAGACGUGAUGUAUGUCAUAAAUUACGAUUUCCCCAAUUCCUCUGAGGACUACAUACAUAGAAUUGGAAGGACAGGGCGGUCAUCAGCCACAGGGACCGCUUAUACUUUUUUUACAUCCGCAAAUCAACGCCAGGCUAGAGACCUGGUGGCCGUUUUAAAUGAGGCCAAUCAAGACGUAUCGCCAGAGCUCUCAGCGAUGAUCCACUCGGGUUAUGGCAACGGCUACAGCAGAGGAAGAAGUUUUAGAUACGGGACAUUCAAGCGUGACAGAUACAGCAAUGGUGGUGGGAGCCGGUUCGGGGGCGGCGGAAAUGGAGGUCCCAGGAGAAACGGAAACGGUUCUAA
rnacentral:misc_RNA from 1 species